rnacentral:rRNA from 1 species
GACGGAGGGUGCUAGCGUUGUUCGGAAUUACUGGGCGUAAAGAGCUCGUAGGUGGUUUGUCGCGUUGUCCGUGAAAACUCACAGCUCAACUGUGGGCGUGCGGGCGAUACGGGCAGACUGGAGUACUGCAGGGGAGACUGGAAUUCCCGGUGUAGCGGUGAAAUGCGCAGAUAUCGGGAAGAACACCCGUGGCGAAGGCGGCUCUCUGGAACGGUACUGACGCUGAGACGCGAAAGCGUGGGGAGCGAACAGG